UACGUAGGGACCGAGCGUUGUCCGGAAUCAUUGGGCGUAAAGAGCGUGUAGGCGGCCACUUAAGUCCUGCGUGAAAUCUUGCGGCUCAACCGCAAGCGGUCGUGGGAAACUGGGUGGCUAGAGUGCGGGAGAGGAGAGUGGGAAUUCCUGGUGUAGCGGUGGGAAUGCGCAGAGUAUCAGGAAGAACACCCGUGGCGAAGGCGGCUCUCUGGAACGCAACUGACGCUGAGACGCGAAAGCGUGGGGAGCAAACAGG
rnacentral:rRNA from 1 species